AAGAGACAGCAGUAGCCACGGUAAUACGAAGGGGGCUAGCGUUGCUCGGAAUUACUGGGCGUAAAGGGAGCGUAGGCGGACAUUUAAGUCAGGGGUGAAAUCCCGGGGCUCAACCUCGGAAUUGCCUUUGAUACUGGGUGUCUUGAGUAUGAGAGAGGUGUGUGGAACUCCGAGUGUAGAGGUGAAAUUCGUAGAUAUUCGGAAGAACACCAGUGGCGAAGGCGACACACUGGCUCAUUACUGACGCUGAGGCUCGAAAGCGUGGGGAGCAAACAGGAUUAGAUACCCGGGUAGUCCCUGUCUCUUAUAC
rnacentral:rRNA from 1 species